rnacentral:ncRNA from 1 species
CUACGGACUUAGAUAACUGAGCCUUGAUGGAGAAAUCUACCAAGUGACCGCUCUCAAAUUCAGGGAAACCUAAAUCUGGUAACAGACAUGGCAAUCCUGAGCCAAGCCGAAAAAAGAUAGAAGGCAGAAGAUAAAAGAUAAAAAGACUUAUUCUUUCUUGAUUCUUCACUCUUGAUUCUUUUUAAGGAAGGUGCAGAGGCCCGACGGGAGCUACCCUAACGUAAAGUCGAGGGUAAAGGGAGGGUCCAAUUCUCAAAGCCAAGCUUAGGU